rnacentral:rRNA from 1 species
ACAAGCAGCGGAGCGUGUGGUUAAUUCGAUGCUACACGAAGAACCUUACCAGGGUUUGACAUGCAAGUGGUAGGAAUCCGAAAGGUGACCGACCCUUCGGGGAGCUUGCACAGGUGCUGCAUGGCUGUCGUCAGCCCGUGUCGUGAGAUGUUCGGUUAAGUCCGCUAACGAGCGCAACCCUCGUCGUGUGUUAUACGUGUCACACGAUACUGCCGGUAUCAAGCCGGAGGAAGGUGGGGAUGAUGUCAAGUCAGCAUGGCCUUUAUAUCCUGGGCUACACACACGCUACAAUGGCAGAUACAAUAGGUUGCGAAACCGCGAGGUGGAGCCAAUCCUCAAAGUCUGUCUCAGUUCAGAUUGUAGGCUGCAACUCGCCUGCAUGAAGUUGGAGUUGCUAGUAAACGCAGGUCAGCUAUACUGCGUUGAAUACGUUCCCGGGGUUU